rnacentral:rRNA from 1 species
AACAGGAUUAGAUACCCUGGUAGUCCACGCCCUAAACGAUGUCUACUAGUUGUCGGGUCUUAAUUGACUUGGUAACGCAGCUAACGCGUGAAGUAGACCGCCUGGGGAGUACGGUCGCAAGAUUAAAACUCAAAGGAAUUGACGGGGACCCGCACAAGCGGUGGAUGAUGUGGAUUAAUUCGAUGCAACGCGAAAAACCUUACCUACCCUUGACAUGGUCGGAAUCCUGAAGAGAUUUGGGAGUGCUCGAAAGAGAACCGGCGCACAGGUGCUGCAUGGCUGUCGUCAGCUCGUGUCGUGAGAUGUUGGGUUAAGUCCCGCAACGAGCGCAACCCUUGUCAUUAGUUGCUACGAAAGGGCACUCUAAUGAGACUGCCGGUGACAAACCGGAGGAAGGUGGGGAUGACGUCAAGUCCUCAUGGCCCUUAUGGGUAGGGCUUCACACGUCAUACAAUGGUACAUACAGAGGGCCGCCAACCCGCGAGGGGGAGCUAAUCCCAGAAAGUGUAUCGUAGUCCGGAUUGUAGUCUGCAACUCGACUACAUGAAGUUGGAAUCGCUAGUAAUCGCGGAUCAGCAUGUCGCGGUGAAUACGUUCCCGGGUCUUGUACACACCGCCCGUCACACCAUGGGAGCGGGUUUUACCAGAAGUGGGUAGCCUAACCGCAAGGAGGGCGCUCACCACGGUAGGAUUCGUGACUGGGGUGAAGUCGUAACAAGGUA